AUAUUAGGUAAAAAUUUUGUGAAUCACUUCCAGGUCUGGCCCAUUAGAUCUUCUGUCCUCCACCCUUCUUUUGUCCCUCAGCUGGAUGUCAGUUCACAAGGAAACAUUAGAAGAUCCUGUUUUUAAGAAGAAGAAAUAACCAUCAGUAUGAGAAACUUGGUAACUGAAAAUUCCUAAUUAUCUACCUUUCUGUCCACUUAAGCCAAUCGGACUUAAGUUAUUAUAAAACAAAUAUCUAUUGUGUAAAACCAAUGAAAAUUUGGGAUAUUUUUAAUAGUACAAGUAUCAUUACUCUGAUGCAGAAAUCAUUGCAAGAAGGAUGCUAAUGUAACAAAAAUCUAAAAUACUUUGCAUUGAUCUACCAUGCAGUCAAGAUGGAAACUAAUAUCCAGGGCUAGAAAACAAGAUUUGUGCAUACAGUGACAAAAACUUUUAAGUGGCCAUUUAUAAUUACAUGAAAAUCCAACCACAUGCUUACUGAACUCAUAGCCCUAAGGGAAGAGACUGGAGAAUGAAAUGUUGGUAGUCAGUGUUGAUUUCUAGCAUCUGCAUUUAUCAAGGAGAUAGAAAAUUAGAAAUGGGAUAUAGCAAAAAUUUAUUAGCUUGCAAGCAGUAAAAACAGAAAGUAAAAGGAUGGAAAAGCCAUGGCUUCUAGACCCAAUAAUAAGAGAUUAUGAGCAAAGGUCCACUAAGACUUCUAGCUAAGACCUAAGAAAAGAUGUGACAUUUCCCCCUAAACAUGAUAGCUUUAAGCCACAUUGGCCAAGGAGUUAAAAAAUAAGGUAGGCUUGAGAGUUAUAUUUCAAAAAGAACUUUGGGGGAUGCUAUUAGCAUGUGUAACUGAAUAGAUAAUUUUCCCUCAAAACCAGUAAUCUACUUAUUUAUAAUGCCAAAGUAAUUACAAGCCUGGACUUCAGUAUCCUGCAAAUGUUCUAUCAUUAUGAGUAUUUGGGGGCUCCCAAACUUGCUCAGGAAAGAGAUGGGUUGCAAAAACUAAAGGCCCACAAGGAGGGCACAGAUCCUAUCAUUUAUUUCAAAUACAGUCAGUACACUAAAAAACCUCUAAAAGGGUAGGUCCAGAGCUAGGAAGAACAUUGAAUAAGUAUCUCCUUUCAGAUAGAAAAAUUGAAAUCAGGAAAAUGUCCCACUGCUGGAUAAGAGGGGCUUCAAAAUGCCUGCCAGAAGGAUAUCAUAACUACUAUAGACCAGUGCAUUGUGUGUUUCCCAUGUUCCCUUUGCCAGAUAGCAGUUUUUGUUAUAAAUCUGUACAUGAGUUGGGCCUAGUGGUAGUGGGGAGACAUUUGUAACUUGUGUUGUUAGUGCAAGUGUAACCGGAACCUCAAGUACCCAUAUCAAAAACUGAUGGAAAGAACCAUGCAUCAUUUGGAAAUCUUGGACUUUGAGCUGGUUACAAUAACUAGAUGGAAUUUUGGAUUGUCUCACUUGGGGAAGGAGGGAGUGUGCUCUGUGUGGUGAGGCAUCUGGUAACUAGCAAACAUACUGUGUUAGAAACUGGCUAAGUGUUUCUUUUGCUUAGGUACCUGGCUAAAUUACACUUCCCAGUCUUCUCAAAAUUGGAAAAUAACAGCCAAUUGAAUAUGGGUAAAAGUGAUUAUAUGAUUUUUCCCUACCCCAUGAAACUUUCUAGCAAAUCAUCCACAUUUCUUUCCUUGUUUUCCAGUUAGCUGUUGAUAUCUUGGGCAAUCUUGCAAAACAGGUUUUGAAGAUGGGGAUACCCCACAUGGUUGCAUUGAACGAAUGCCCCCAACACUAGCCAGCCGCUAUUGAACUUUAUACAAACAAGAAAUAAGUAUUUGGCUAUGUCACUGAGAUGUAGGGUAUUUAUCUGUUCCAGCUAAUACUCCUAAAUGAGUAUUGAUCUAUUGCUUUUUUUUAAUCUCUGGGUCAUUCUUUCUCUACGGAUUUGAAAUCUCACCAUAUAAUCCCAGCAUUAUUCCCAGGCUCGCUCUCUCCUGCUUAUCUGGUUCUCUGAUCAAAUAAUACAUUUUAAAUUAAAAUUUUUUAAAUGUAGACACCUAGUAGCCUGGUUUACUUGUCUUUUUUUUUUUCCCCCUCAGAUUUUUCUUAGCAAGUCUUAUGUCUUUUUGUUAGAAACAAAUUUUAAAAGUAGCUUGUAAAUUUUAUUUUAAAAAAUUGUCUUAGUUUAUUAAUAUUGAUUACUCUUACCUGGGAGGUAUUCGUAUUUCAAAUAUUUCUCAUUGUUCUCUGAUUGCAAAAAAUAGUGACUAUGCUUCCAUUAAUGGGCCUAAAUUACAGAAUUAUAGAAGAAAUGACAUGAACAGGAGCAAGUUCAGUAGCCUAAGUGUGACAUCAUCAUGAAGAAAUUAAGUAGCCUUAAGUCAGAUACUGGAAUGUUGUUUGUACUUUGAACAUGUGUUUCUCCUCAAGGGAAAACUUGUUUUGAAAGAAAGUCAUUCUCCAUGUUGUUUUCAGGAUAUAAUUAAAAGGAUAUUUUUCGGUAAAGAUAGCCAAAAGUUAGAGGGCGCAUGAACGGAGAAGUGUUAUUUGUUUUAUUUUUUAACCAAACAUGGUAUAAAUAUUCAUUGUUUCACUGAGCUCUCUCAGUUAUGGACAGAAGUUCACAUAUACUAACAACAACCAGUUUAGCUCAAGUCUGAAAUAAGUGUGAACUACCUCUGAAAAGAAAAAAACCAAACAUUUUUUUUUUAAAUCAUAGUCACCACCUGUGAUAAAGGAGAGGUUUGCAGGCCCUAUCACAUUUUUAAGGUUUUGAAGUGCUAUAAUUGCAUUAUCAGUGCUUAGAAUUUUCUUACUUUAGUGCUUGCAUUUAUAUUCUCCACUUUGAUAUCUGCAAGGCUCCCUUUCUCAGUUUUACAGGUCUCUGCUCAAAUGUAGCUUAAUAGGGAGGGCUUCUUUGAUCUCCUUAGAAAACAUCAACUAGUUAUUCCUCCCUCUUUGCUUGAUUUUUCUUCUGUGAUACAUUCAUAAAAGUACAUAGUAAGUUCCUGUUAAAUAUUUGCUUUUAAAAUACAUAUUCCAUAAAUAUUUGAAUAAAUAUUAUUUUGUAUAAGUAAUCAUGAAUAUAUACAAGUUUUUUUCAGUAUAUCAAUGACUCAUAUGGUUGAAUACCUGCAGCUACCAGUUAGGAAGGAGGCUAUUAGAAUAACCCAGGUGAGUGACAGGAUUGCUCGGACUUGGAGAGUAGCCGUGGAGAGAGAGAAUAGGAGAAAAGGUGAUGUUUGAUUAUAGAGGAGAAAUUAUGACUUAGUCCUGAGGAAAUGUAUGAGAAUAAUUUAAAGAAUAAAAAGUAGGUUUACUAGGCAGCAUUAGGAACUCAUUUGGAGUUUACUGUGAUUAAAGUGAGAAUAAUUUGCAUAGCUAUUUGUAUUUUGUAUUUUCAUUUUCUAUGACCUGGAGUGUUUUUUGGAGGGUGGAGGUUGCCACACCCCUGGCCUGGGGAAGUUCUUGGGCAGGAAUCGAAACUGCACCACAGCAGCAACCAGAGCCACAGCAGUGAUAAUGCCAGAUCUUUAACUGCUAAGCCACUAGGGAACUCCUCUAUGAUCUGGUUUUGACCAAAUUUAUUUGGGGCUUUUAGUCUUUUUGCUACUGGUUGGUCGAGUUCUUCAUAUGUUAAUGAAAUAAGCCCUGUGCCUACCAUGAUUUGCAAAGAAUUUUCAUUUUGUCAUUUGUUUUUGGAUUUUUUUUUUCCCAGUAAGAUGUUUGAUUUUUUUUUUUUUUUUUAAUGUUGUAAAUGAUAUCUAGAAGUUGCCUGGUGGCUCUGGGGAUUAAGAAUCCAGUGUCAUGGCCAUGGCACAGAUUCUGUCCCUGGCCCGGGAACUUCCACAUCCCAUUGGUAUGGCCAAAAAGUAAUAAUAAUAAUAAUAAAAAUAAUCAAUGAAAUAAAUAGAUGAUGUUUAAUCUUUAACCUCCUAGCUGGUUAUUGUUGGUAUAUGUGAAGGCUAGAAUUGUUACUGGCAUUUUUCUUAGCCACCUCAUAAAACUUUUUAAUAGUUACUCUACAAUUUCUCUUACAUCGUCUCAGGUUCAGAAUUGUAUCUUCUUAAGAUAAUGAUCAUUUCAUUUGCUCCUAAUUUUUGUAAUUGUAUUUCUCUUACCUAAGUAGAAUGGCUAGUGCUUCCAAUGCAACAUAAAAUAAUAACACUGAAAAUGGACCUCCUUGUCUCAUUUUAUUAAUGGGAAUGCUUCUAGUGGUGCUACUCAAGCAUGAAAUUGACUUUUAGAUUUAGAUAGAUAUGUUUUAUGAAUUUAUAAUCUAUUCUUCUUAAUAAGGGAUAUUUUUAAAAAUCAAGAAUGAACAUUCCCUCUUGGCACAGUGGGUUAAGGAUCCAGCGCUGUUACUGCAGCAGCUUGGGUUGCUGCUGUGGCUUGGGUUCACUCCCUGGCCUGGUAACUUCCAC
rnacentral:lncRNA from 1 species